GGUCAAUACAGCUUAGACAUAGCUUGUGGCUGCAGGGUAAAGUCACAACACCCACUGACUGGCAACCUGGACACUCGAGCUCUUCUUCCGUUUGGGUUCCACAUUGACACAAGCACCUCCCACUCAGCUGCUGCAUGCCUCCUCCACUCAUAUCAUGAAAGGUCAUCAAAUGACGUGAUAAAAAUACUUGACAGAGUUUGGAUUGAGGGUCAAGGACACCCAGCUGGAAGGGGCCCCAUGUUCACUUCACAGUAAACAAGGUUUUGUCAGGCUGACAAAAAUCCAAACGUUGUCAAUGAUUCCAAUGUUUUCAAUAACAUCUACCGAGUCCCUCUGUUAACAUGAGGUUGAAUAUUUUUUUUAAAGAUAUUCUACUUCUAUGAAGUAUGCUGGAACAUGUAAAUUUCCUAAUGGGGAUGAAUAAAGUACCUACCUACCUACCUAGCUAAAAACACAAAGUGCCCAUAAAGCAACUCUAUGAAGUAUAUAUCUAUGUUAAACAGAUCAUUUUACUAUGCAAAUAAAU